GAUGAAGAACGUAGCGAAAUGCGAUAAGUAAUGCGAAUUGCAGAAUUCCAGUGAGUCAUCGAAUCUUUGAACGCACAUUGCGCCCUUUGGUAUUCCGAAGGGCAUGCCUGUUCGAGCGUCAUUAUCACCCCUCAAGCCCCGUGCUUGGUGUUGGACGGCCGGUCGAGGUUCCCCUCGACCCCUCCUAAAGACAACGACGGCGGCCUGUGGUUCCCCCGGUACACUGAGCUUCUCACCGAGCACGUACCGGACGAGGGCACCCGGGACCCGGUCUUCUCCUCUCACGAGGAAAUAUUUUUCUAAGGUUGACCUCGGAUCAGGUAGGAAUACGCGCUGAACUUAAGCAUAUCAAUAAGCGGAGGA
rnacentral:misc_RNA from 1 species